rnacentral:misc_RNA from 1 species
GGAAGUAAAAGGUAACAAGGUUUCCGUAGGUGAACCUGCGGAAGGAUCAUUAUCGAAUUUCGAGGGGAAGGAAGAUGAGGAGUGGAGACUGUCGCUGGCUUUCCCGCCUGGGAAGCAUGUGCACGCCUUGCUUUUCGUUGACCUUUCUCUUACUCUCACACCUGUGCACCCAUUGUAGGUCCUCGAAAGAGGAUCUAUGUUUUUAUCAUCACACGCAUCGUAUGUCCAUAGAAUGUAACAUGAUCGUCGAUCGACCUCGCGGUCGGGUGGCGGUCUAAAUAAAUAAAUACAACUUUCAGCAACGGAUCUCUUGGCUCUC